GACGGAGGGGGCAAGCGUUGUCCGGACUCACUGGGCGUAAAGCGCGCGUAGGUGGGGCGAUGCGUCGGCGCUGAAAGCGCCCGGCUUAACCGGGCGACGGGCGACGAUACGAUCGCACUGGAGGCAGGGAGACGUUGGUGGAAUUCCGGGUGUAGUGGUGAAAUGCGUAGAGAUCCGGAGGAAUGCCGGUGGCGUAAGCGGCCAACGAGUCCUGACAUGACACUGAGGCACGAAAGCGUGGGGAGCAAACCGG
rnacentral:rRNA from 1 species